rnacentral:rRNA from 1 species
AGUAACGGCGAGUGAAGCGGCAACAGCUCAAAUUUGAAAUCUGGCCUCUUUGGGGUCCGAGUUGUAAUUUGUAGAGGAUGUUUCGGGUACCGCCUCGGUCUAAAUUUCUUGGAACAGAAUGUCAAAGAGGGUGAGAAUCCCGUCUUGGACCGGCGGUAGGGCCCAUGUGAAACUCCUUCGACGAGUCGAGUUGUUUGGGAAUGCAGCUCAAAAUGGGUGGUAAAUUUCAUCUAAAGCUAAAUAUUGGCCAGAGACCGAUAGCGCACAAGUAGAGUGAUCGAAAGAUGAAAAGCACUUUGAAAAGAGAGUUAAACAGUAUGUGAAAUUGUUGAAAGGGAAGCGCUUGCAACCAGACUUGCGCGCGGCGGUUCCCCCUUCCUUCUGGUUGGGUUACUCCGCCGUGUCCAGGCCAAUAUCGGUUUUGGGGGUCGGUUAAAGGCUUGGGGAAUGUAUCUACUCCUCCGGGCGUAGACUUAUAGCCCAGCGUGUCAUGCGACCUCCCGGGACCGAGGAACGCGCUUCGGCUCGGAUGUUGGCGUAAUGGUUGUCAGCGACCCGUCUUAACC